CCGGUUCACGCAAAUGUUUCAGUUCCUGGACCCAACUGGGUGGGCCAAAGCUUCACACCUUGGCUCCGCCCACCCAGAGUCCAAAAGAUGAAGGAUAGGACUUGGAGUACAUUAUAGCCACGCACCAAGAACAGAAAGCAGCUUCCCUCGUCUUUUCCCCAGACAUCAUCUCUUCCAGGUAGCGGACAUGAAGUUCACACCACAGCUCUCUCUCUCCAUGAUGCUGUCCUGGAGUGGAUCCUGGCAUGAACUCUCUCUCUCACCCUGCCCCUUCCCUUCUCCUGAAGUGUCAGCGGACCUGGGGGGUUCUCAGCCCCUCCCCUGCCUGGAGGAAUCGCAAGGAGAGCCAGACACGCACUGUCUAGGUGAAAGCUACAGAAAGCAGCCCUCAGGCAGCCAGACAUUUGGGAGCCUUGCUCUCUGAAAGUGUCAACCUCCCAACCCUCACCCCACCCCACCCCACCCCCACCCCGUUGGUAUUCUGUCUGGACUCCACCCCCCACAGUUACCUGGCAACAGCCAGGUAGG